rnacentral:rRNA from 1 species
CCUACGGGAGGCAGCAGUGAGGAAUAUUGGUCAAUGGACGAGAGUCUGAACCAGCCAAGUAGCGUGAAGGAUGACUGCCCUAUGGGUUGUAAACUUCUUUUAUAAAGGAAUAAAACGAGGCACGUGUGCCUGUUUGCAUGUACUUUAUGAAUAAGGAUCGGCUAACUCCGUGCCAGCAGCCGCGGUAAUACGGAGGAUCCGAGCGUUAUCCGGAUUUAUUGGGUUUAAAGGGUGCGUAGAUGGGUUGUUAAGUCAGUUGUGAAAGUUUGCGGCUCAACCGUCAGAUUGCAGUUGAGACUGGCAGUCUUGAGUACAGUUGAGGUAGGCGGAAUGCGUGGUGUAGCGGUGAAAUGCUUAGAUAUCACGAAGAACCCCGAUUGCGAAGGCAGCUUGCUAACCUGUGACUGACAUUGAUGCUCGAAAGUGUGGGUAUCAAACAGGAUUAGAUACCCCUGUAGUC